rnacentral:misc_RNA from 1 species
UCUAGCGCUGUGCUGACUUUACCG